rnacentral:antisense_RNA from 1 species
CUCUGCGACCUAUGGCAAAACCCAAAUGAACCACCAACUGUAAUGGUCUAUUUUCUUGAGCUCAGAGCAACUAUGUGAACUCAGAAAGAAAUUAUAGGCUUUAAAUGAUCCUUAAUACCCUGCAUUUCAGUGUUACCUACAUACACCACCUCAGAGGAUAGCAUUUCUGUAGUAGCCGUGGUAUGACACACUGCCAAGAUUAAUAGGCCUAUCCAGGGGAAGCUCCCAGGACAAUGACAAGAUCCAAGGUCUCACUCUGUCACCCAGGCUGGAGCGGUGCCAUCACAGCUCACUGCAGCCUGGACCUCCCAGACUCAAGUGAUCCUCCUACCACAGCCUCCCAAGUAGCCAGGACUACAGGUGAGUGCUCUGCUAAGCUCUGCAACAAGUUCCAAGCUAGUAGUGGCCAGCUACUCAGCUUUCUCAGGAAACUCACCUUCUCUCCUUGGAGUGAUGGGACUGAGUCCCGCAAACUGUGAAAGCUGUCUUUGAUGUGGUCCCUACGUUUUCGUUCCAGUGCAUUAUGAUGAGCCCGUUUGUCAGCCUAGAAGAAUGGGAGAAAGAACACAUUAGGAAUGUCACUCCUUUUGCUUGGUACA